CGGGCCGGGAGGGGGCGCCCGGGGUGCGGGCGCGGGCGCGGGCGCGGGGGGCGCCGCCGUGACCGUGGCCGCCAUGGAGCGCACGGCCGAGCCCGCGGCCCUCCGCCCAGCGAAGCCGCCCUCCCUGGCCUUGCGAACAAAGACUCGGGAAGUUGGGAAGGGAAUCUUUCCCGACAUUUUCGUCCCCCUCUCCACCUCCGCCACCCUCGGCUGCUGGGUCUGGGCGGCGGCCAUCAGGGCUCUUAAAGGGGACAGAAGCUCGCUCUGGUUUUCUCUGUCCUCCGGUCUUGCUCGACCCCCACCCGCGUUGGCCGGAGUAGAAGAAGGGGGCACCUUGCCGCUCCAGCUUUCAGGUGUUAAGCACCACCCCCACCCCCACCCAUGUCCGGGCCAGCCUGGGGCUGCAAGCGGAUCAGGGCCUGUGGGGUAAGAGACCCCCGCAGCCAGGGGACACAGCCCUGGACCCCCGCCGUGUUGACCCCGGCCACUGCCAUGCCAGGGGGUCCUGGGCGCUUCUGAUCCUCCCCUUCUGCUUGAGCUGCCUCCCUGUGGCCCUCCAGAGUGGACCCCCAGUUGCCACCAGCUCUCCCCAGCGCCCACCGUGCUCUGCCGGGAGGCUGCUGCGCCCAGGCAACAUCAGUGCCAAGUGCAGUGGUUGGUUUGGGGGACACAACCUCGCAGCGUGGUCAGGGCCUGAGGGACGGGGUUGGCCUGGGCCCUGUGGGGCCUUGUCCCCGGGAAGCAGGGCUAGGGACACUGUGCCCCCACUGGCUUCUGCCCACAGGCCUAGGCCCCCUCGGGCCAAUUUCUCUGCACCUUCCUCCUCCAUUUGCCUGAGACAAGGCCCCCUGUGAGUGGCUUGAUCCCUGGGGGACACCUAGGCAGUGGGUGGUGGCAGAGCGUCCUAGACCCCCAGAGCAGUGCCCGGCCUCUGAGGCUCUGAGGUUGACUACCACCCGUUUCCCCCUGUCCCAGGCCAGAUCCCCCAAACCCCAGCAGGGAAGGCCUGACUGGGCCUGCUCUUGCCCGUGGGCCAGUUCCCAACCUUCCAGAGGCCAUGGCUAAGGUCACUUCCAUCUCCAGGACACCUGGACCCCAGUGUCCCCUCCACAGAAGGCCAUGAAUGGAAAAGGCCUGGGCUGGUCCAGGGGCUGUACCGGUCACUGCCCUCAGCACCCUGGACAUUCCAGCAGGGGCCUCGAGUGGACAGUCUACAGGGAUCUGGUGGGGUGCAGUGCAGAGUCUGGGGGACGGUGGGAACAGAGAGCCCAGACCUGCCCUAAGAGGAGGCCUCGUGUCAACUCUGGCCACUUGCUGCCCAGCGGGUAAAAGCCUCUGGUUCCAGAGCUUCUGGCUGUUUGGGGGAAGGAAAUCUAGAUUUGUGCACAGGAUGCCCAGAAUCUGAAAACCCCAAAUGCAGGACAGAGGAAACGCAUCCCUGGGGUGAAGCCAGCCCGUGGCCCCCUGGGUUGCAGCCCCUGUGUCCCCGUGAGCUGUUUAGUGUUUAAGGGGGGGCAGGUUUCUUAGAGAACCCAGCCCCAACCCAAGCUAUGACAAGGAAGCCCUGUAGAUCUGGGGUGCAGGGAAGGGGGAGUUUGUGCCUCAUUUAUUUCUCAUCUCAAAGGAGUCACCUCCAUAUACUGAGUCAUUCAGUUGGCUGAAGCUGGUUUGUCUCUUUAAGACCCGAUCUGCUUAACUGAACUGUUCUGAAAUUAAAAUCUUCCUAAACUGAAGUACCCAGUCCUCUGGGCAACCUGCCUGUCCACUCGAGCUGGGCCCCUGGUGCUCUGCAAGUGAGGAAGGAGAGGCAGGGUGCAGAAAAUGAACCUGAACUUGAACUUUCUUAUGUCCCAGGCAAUUAAGCCACUGCUGCUGCUGGUUAAGAUAGCCUGGGUGUAUUGCAACGAGGGUCAGCUCUUUUGUGAGGCAGGCCUGCACUUAGACCCUUGUCUUGUGAUGGCUGGAUGACCCUGGGCCAGUAAUCUAACCUCUCUGAGCCUCAACUUCCUCACUCAUAAAGUGGGCUAAAUAGCAGUUCUGAUUCAGUGGAGUCCUGGGGGAGAGUUGUGACAGGCGUGUGACUGCUCAGCGUGGCUUGAGCAUGCGGAGGCACCCGGUAAAUCUAGCUGCUGUUAUUUGAGGUGGACUGUGGCUUCCUGCUUCUCUAAGACUGCACCUACUUCUGGGGCAGCUUCUCAAAUCUCGUAUCAACUCUCAACUGCUUGCUUCUCCCCACUUUUUGUGUUUCUUUUCUUACCCCUAAAGAAACCAUCACCGAGCCACUCCCUUGUGUUUAUAGCCCUGUGCUGGAUACAGCGGGUCAAGCAGCGAGUCUGACAUAGGCCCUGCCUUGAGAAGCUGCAGGGUGCCCUGUGCAACUGUAACACCAGGUUGAGCCUCUCUCAGCUGACUUGCUGUCCAGAGAAGGUUGUUUUCUGCAAUGCUCCUGUUGCUGGCUGUGCAGUCUUUGUUGAAUGCCCCCAGGGGUGAGCAGCUCACUACCUCUUUAGCAGUGUUUCUGUAGAAGCUGUCAGAGGAAGCCUCCUAGAAGGCUCUUAGGAGCCUUCACUGGUAGGACCAGAGGGAGACAGGACUGCAGCAGUGGUUCUGGGUCCAAGGCAUUUGGUUUUCCUGGGGAAAACACACACCUGGAAAGAAGGCCCUGAAAACUUGGCGAGAUGCUGAUUCUCAGUCUCCAGGGAAAGCACCGCACGUGAUCGGUGCACGUUUUUGCAGAACAGAGCCCUGUUUCCUAUUUUUGCCAAUAGUAUGUGCUGCAAGGAGAGGCAGAAGAAAAGGGCCAUGGAGUGGGGACUAAGACAAACCGAGGGCAGAAAGCUGGCCGCUGCCCGCGAGCAGGCAGCUGGAAAGUGUGGGGAGGCUCGAGGCCCCGGGUCCCUCGCUGGGGCUGGCUGCAGCGGUGUCAGUCGCUUGUCGUGCCCGACUCUUUGCCACCCCGUGGACUGUGGCCCAAAGGCUCCUCUGUCUGUGGGAUUCUCCAGGCAAGAAUACUGGAGUGGGUUGCCCUUCUCUUCUCCAGGGGACCUUCCCGACCCUGGCAUUGAACCUGGGCCUUCUGCAUUGCAGGCAGAUUCUUUACUUCCUGAGCCACUAGGGAAGCCCAACAUCGGUGCAGAACCCAGUGCAAAAUUUAAACUUGAAAGUAUUAAGAAUUUCAGGACGGUGACAGCAGAGCAUUAAAGCAAGUAUGGGAGCUUCGGAAUGCAGGGCCUUGCUGAGUGUGGGGCCCUGUGUGGCAGAGGCCACAGACCGCCCUCCCCUCCGCCCCCCCGCCCCAAGCUGGCCCGGCUCCCUGCACGUGUUCUUGCCGCGUGCGGAGGGCCGGGGAGGGCCUGCCGGCAGCUCUAUUGAAGGAGCAUGACUCUUCUCCUGCGAUGAUUUUUUUUUUUCCAUCCCUGAUGUUACAUGCUAAUUUUAGAACUUUUUGAAUCCUCAUAAAAGAAGAAAAGAAGUCUUCAAUCACCUGUGAAACCACCCUCAGAAAUAGCCAGUGGGAACAGUUCAUCUAGCUUCUGUGAAACAUGAUUUUAAGCAGACCGAGCAUCUUAGCACCUGAUUAUAUGGAUCAUUUUGUCUUCUGCUUGUUUCACCAAGUAUUUGAUCCCAACUCCUUCUGCAAGUCAGAAGAUGCUUUUCUGCAAGUUGGUUUUCAACGACUGUUUAAUAUUCCGUUGCUGAAGCCCCUUACGGGCUCAGUCGCUCAGCCGUGUCCGACCGUCUGUGACCCCAUGGACUGUAGCCCGCCAGGCUCCCCUGUCCAUGGGAUUUCCCAGGCACGAAUACCUGAGUGGGUUGCCAUUUCCUUCUCCAGGGGAUCUUCCCGACCCAGGGAUCAAACCCACGUCUCCUGUGUCUUCUGCGUUGGCAGAGGGACUCUUUACCACUGAGCACCCGGGGAAGCCCCGAAGCUCUUUAACUAACCCCUUAUUACUGGACACUUUGGUGGCUCAGAGGUAAAAGCGUCUGCCUGCAAUGUGGGAGACCUGGGUUCGAUCCCUGGGUCGGGAAGAUCCCCUGGAGAAGGAAAUGGCAACCCACUCCAGUAUUCUUGCCUGGAGAAUGCCAUGGACGGAAGAGCCUGGUGGGCUACCGUCCACGGGGUCGGAAAGAGUCGGACACGACAGAGCAACUUCACUUUCACUUUCACUUUGGUUAUUCCCAAUUAUUUCCGGUUUUUUGUAUUGUUUGGGGAAUGUCUGUGUGCCCACUGGGGCUUAUUUCCUAAGAGAUAGAAGGCUGUUAGGAGAGACUUUCAGGUUCCAGAAGCCUUUGGAGGUUGUCUGAAAUUCCACCUUGGCCAGGGGCUCAGCCCCCAGCACCUGCACAGCAACAGUACUGAGGGGAGGGCCUGCUGGACCCUCUUUUGACUUUUAGACUUAGCCCUUGCCGGAGCUGACUCGACCGGGCAGUGGUGAUCACACACGGCACGGCUGCCCCGCGAGGGGCUGUGACCAGCCCCCUUCACAGAAAAGGCCAGAGGCACUGGCCCGGGGCUUCCUGCCUGUCCUGUGCUGAGAAGGCCACGUCUGUGAUGAUGAAGCAGGAAGCGGUCCCUCUCCCCAGCAGACUCCUGGGACGAUCUGGGGGUCCAGGCUGCCUAGAACCCCAAGGCUGUCAGGCUGGGGGCAGAAUGAGACAAGGUUUAGCGAGGUGCCCACUCGUGGGCGACGUGCAGUAAGAGGUGACCAGGAGGAGGAGGAGGUGGGGAGUAGAAGGAGGGGGAGCCAGGAGGUGAGGUUACAGCCCCUCGGGCGAGGAGGGCUCUCAGAGCAACCCGCCACCCACCCUAAGGCUCCUGAGCGCAGGAGUGAGGUCUGCUGACCCCAGCCCAGCGCUGCCUGGCGCCGCAGAGCUCCGUGUGUGCAGUGAAUGGGCCGCACCCCCAGGGUCUCCUUCGGAGGCACCUGGGCUUGCUGGGGGCAGGGUGGGGCGUAACUUUCCUGGUGCUGCCGUGACAAAGUACACUGAUCUGAUGUCUCAAGCGGUCGGAGGUUAUGGAGGCUGAAGUCCGCAGUGUCUCCUGGGCCUCAGAUCAGGUGGGGGCAGGAUUGCCUUCUUCUGGAGGCUCCAGAGGAAAAUCCGUUUCCUGGCCUCUUCCAGCUUCUGGAGGUGCCCGCAUUCCUUGGCUCAUGGCCCCUUCCUUCAUCUUCAGAGAGAGCGGCGUGUUGCUUUCUCUGAUGGUAGCUGGGAAGGAGUUCUGUUGUCAGCUUGUCCCCACCUGGAUAAUCCAGCUGCUCUCCCAGCUCCAGGCCUUUAACUUCAUCACUUCCAGAGUGGAUUCAGACUGUUUUGGAUUUAUUCCUGGGUUGCGGAGCUUCCUGCCUGAGGCUGCUCCGGCUCCAGGCUCUUGUCCACCUCAAAGGCAGAGGAUCUGGGGACUCUGGCAGCUUCUGUGCCAAUUUGGGAGCUCCCCUUUCUCUUCCUCAGCCCUGUGGGGCAGGCACAGUGGGCACUGCUAUCAUCCCCAUUUUACAGAUGUGCAAACAGAGGCCCAGACAGGCCAGAUAACUUGCCCAAGGCCAUACAGCUGGCAAGGGGCAGGGCUGAACCUUGAUGAUGGCUGGACCUUAAACUAGGGAUCCAGGGGGCCUACCACUUGCUUCCAGGAAUGUGGUCUUUCUCAGCUCUCAGACAUAGUUCAUGAUUCUUUCCAGAAGGGUGGCGAGGCUUCCUGCCCUGUUUUCAGUAUAGGCCACUGCUGUAGGGGACAGAAGGGCCUUGGGGCAGCCCUGGGCAGGGGGCUUAUCUGAGUGUGGAGGGAUCUGGGGGGGUUCACGGUGGGCAGGGCCUCACUGCAGGCUGCAUGUCGGUAGGGAGGGUCAGGGUGCCGAGGGCAAAGGACAAGUGGUCCCAGAGCUCUUCACAGGCCAGUGCCCUGCCGGGGGCUUUGGGGCGUCCUUCCCCGCCACCGGCACAGAGCCGAGCCACUCGGGACAAGAAAAUGAGGAAGAGGAUGUUCCGCGGGCCUCCUUUGAAGCUGGGGUGGCUCAAGGGCGGCCGAGGGUGUGCCUCACCCAGGCCUGGACCCUCCCCACCACCGCCUGCUGCCGCCGCCUCCGCACCGGGCCUGGCCUGGCAUGGGAGGAGUUAAGCCGCCGCGGGCACCUUGGCACGUCGUGCCGCCCAGAACGUCCAGCUCCCCACCCCCACUGCUUUUCUUCCCUUUUUGCCUUUUUUCCUUCUUAAUUAAUCAUACGCUACUGCCCAAUUUAAAUAUGGAAAUGCCCAGGCCAGGCAAGGCAAUUAUUCCUCCGGCCAGGCGGGCUGUCCGGGCGGGCCCUGGGCUGCGGGGAGCAUGGUGGCAUCGCCCCCUUUCUGAUGCGUGUGAAAUUACGUGCACAAAAGGCGUCUCCUCAUCUGAGUGUGUGAACUAAAUAAAUAAAUAAGGGCUUUUGUUUGUUUGCCGGCUCCUGCACAUGACUGUUUUGACUAAACCGCUCGUGUUGUCUGUGCCUUUAUGGGACUCGGGAGACGGGGGCCGGGGGUGGGGGGGGCGGCCGGCGGGCAUCUGGGCCUCUCUGUCCCCCGGCACCAGCGCACCCCCGCCCCUCCCCGCACACACACCCUCACAGGAAAGUUCCCCAGCCCGGGCCGGGCUCCCAGGCAGCUUGGCGCCAUGCCAGGCUCGCCGCCGAGCGCGGGCAGCCGGGUGGGGUGAGCAGCGGCGACACUGAGGACGUGGCCGGGCACCCUGGGCGCCAGCAGGACCCAAGGCCCGGAGGCCGGGGCCCAGAAGGUACCAUCCUCGGCUAUGGUGACCCCCACCCAAGGUGUGAGCCUGGGAGCGGCCGGCCUCCUCCGCCGGACCAACUCGGUGACGAGCCUGCUGUCGCUGGUGGCCUUCGGUGCGGACCCACUGUGUGCCUGCCAGGCUCUCGGGAACUCCACAUUCGUGUGCUCAGACAGACAUCAGCUUUGGAUGGUAGGUAUAAAUGGCUGCUUCUGAAGAUACAGAAAGGAGGCCUCGAGAGGCCAGGCUUCACAGCCCAGAAGGUCCUCUGUGGCUCUGAUUGGCUCUGGAGCCUCGGCUUCUCCCCUGGGCUGGCACCUCUGCCCCCAGAUGCUGUGUCUUAGAAGCCUGCACUCACCGGCACCCUGCCCACACUGCCUUGCCCUGGGAGCCGUCAGCCUCCCAAGGCCCUCCUGGAGCUGUCUCGGCCACAGUGGGGUGGCAGAGUGGGGCACGCACCCCCGGUCUGUGCAUCUGGGACCCCCCCCCCCGGCGAGGGCGGUGCUGAAAAACGUGGCCCGCAGGCUCGCCUGCCGACCUCUGACCCCUCCUGCCCUGUCUCAGGCCCCUCCGAGGGCUUGAGUCCUGGCACAGUGCCACCUAGGGUGCCCGCAGCACCUCUGCCCACGGUUUGUUAGCACUCGGCGUUUCCAGGAAGGACGUUUCUCCCACACAUGGCCUCUGAGAGGGGCCGGGUGGGCUGCUGCAGGCGCGUGUGCCCAAGGCAGGGCUGAGCCCCCGGGGGUGCUGCGUGCCGUGGGUCUGAGCCCUCAGUUUGGCCGACGGGAGUUCCUGCCGGUGGCUCAGAGCCUCCCGCCCCGGGGCCUGCCCACAGCUGUGUCCAGUCAGGCCCAGCCCUGGUGGGUCGGCCAGCUGUCAGACGAGAGGCUGCAGGCGCCAGAGUGGCCGUCUGUGGCCUGGAAGGCGCAUGGAGGGUCAGCGGCGGGUGCGCACUCUCUGCAGUCUCUGGUCUCUGGGGAAAUCCUAGGAGGGGAGCCCCAUUGCUGCCCGUUUGUCGCAGACGAGGAGAUGGAGGCCCGGGGAGCCCGAGGGGCCUGUCCAGGGUGGCAAGCACAGAGCUGAGGUGGAGCCCUGUGGCCCCGGCCCCCGUGGGUGGACGCAGGAGUGUGCCAGUAUCCAGGGAUGCUCGGGGGCUGGGGGGGGCGGGGAGGGCCUUCCGGCACCCCGCUGGGCCUGGUGCUGGUGCCAGCAGGCUCCGCUGGCCUCCGUGGGCCAGGAGCUUCCAGAGGACAAAACUGCCUCUGGACAGAGGACCUGCCCCCGAGCGACCCCUCCGUGGGGCAGGGGCUCUGAGAGCCGCGGGCCCCUGUGGGAUUCCAGGGCUGAGAGGGAGAGCCUGAGUGCGAGCCAGCCUGGGGUUUGGGACUUUUCCUCCUGUUGCCCGUGAUGUCACAGCCCUGCAAGGGGGACGGGCUGUCCCGUAUCGUGGGGGAGGAAGCUGGGCCGGAGAGGGGCAGUCCUGUGCCUGGAGUCACACAGAGUGAAGAGGCGGUGGGUCUGACUGACUCUCCUGCCUUCCCAGUCCCCGCACAAAACAGGGGCUUGUGUCCCCAAGGGGCCUCAGCUUGCGGUUCACUCGUGACCCCGAGACAGGCUGAGGCCCCUGGCCACCCUUCUAGCUCAGCAUGUGGGCCGGCCCAUCAGGAGAGGCUCAGGCCCUCCCCGGGGCCACUCUGCACUCCCAGGACAGCCUUAAAGGCUCCGAGGGCAGGUGACAUGCCGUGGGUGUAACCCAGGAACACAGGACUGUGAGGCGCAGAGGGUGAGGAUUGCUGCCCGAGGGAGGUGGCUCUGCCUGGCACCUCUGUGUGCAGAGCGCCGGGCCGGGGAGCCCGGCGGUCAGCCAGCCUGGUGGUUCCGUGGGCGAUGCUGGGCGGGUGGGUGAAAGGAUUCAGGGGUGCUGAGUGCCCAGAGGGAGGGCCGCCUGUAAAUGCUGCUGUGAAGGGCGCCCUGGCGCCAGAAAAGUCCAGCGGGUGGCUGUCCCUGUGAGCUUUCUGGCUGUGGCCGCAUGCCACUCCUGCGACGCUCAGCCAUCCAGCCAGGGUCCCUGGGCCGUCCCCGGGCCUGCAGCGGGAGCUCCCAAGCUCUCGGGUGGAAACGGCAGCCCCAGGUGUGCGCCUCUGGCUGGUUCUCCCCUGCUGAAGGCGGCCUUGUGCCCUUUCACUUCCCAGCUCCUGUGCCCUGGAGGUCCAACUUCUGAUGCCAACAUCCACAGAGAAAUACUGACCUGGGCUGUCUGCAAAAACCGGGGUCUCGGCCGCUGGGCCGAGGGCAUUCACUGUGGCCCACGGUGGAGCCCUCUGGCUGCGGCCGGGCCACAUUCGCUGUCCAGAGGGAAGACUGGGUGUGUUGCUGUCAGCGCCCCGAGUUGGUGGAGGGUCCUCGACCCGUGGGGGCCCGGAGCUGCUGCCCCGUUGCUCCAGGGAGGGCGUUGGGGCCCCCCGAGCCCAGGGGCCACACGGGGGGGCUGUCACGUGGACCUCCUCACUGGGCAGCGGGGGUUCGCUCAGCCCACCCUGCUGGGGGGUGGGCAGGAGGGCCGUCCCUUCUGGAGGCGGGGUAGGUGCUCCCCGCUCCCAUAAAUAGGACCGUAGGGAUGGGCCUGCUGGUCCAGUGGCUCAGACCCCGUGCUCCCCGUGCUGGGAUCCCUGGUCAGGGAGCCAGAUCCCACGUGGCCGCUGCUAAAGACGCUGCACGCUGCAGCGAAGGUGGCAGACCCCGCGGACCACACCCUGGCCCAGCCACACACGUGUUGAAACCAACAGGACGGUGGUGGGCUCGAGGCUGGCAGCCCACGCAGGCGGCAGCGGCCAGGCCUGGGCUGACCGCCCGGCCCCGCGCUUCUCUCGGAAUCUGCUCGGGGCUCCGGGGCACAGACCUUGGCGCCCCAUCCCACAGUCGGGGAGAGGGUUCCGUGAGAGCCUGGGCAGCGAGCGAGCAGGAGUCAGGACGAGAGCCAGUGCUGUGCGAUGCGGGGUCCUGCACCCGUGCCACAUGUAGGUCGCAGGCGGUGGGCUCCCAGGGCCCUACCUCUGUCUCCAGAGAGGGGGUGACCUUGGCACAGCCUCUGAGGCAUCGUAAGGCCUGGGCACAUCCCAGGGAAGCCGCCACCAGGUCCCCUGUGGACCCUGAGGGCCUUACACGUCCCACACGUGUCCCGCGACAGUCAGAGUCAGAGGCACUGCUGCAGAGGAGGGCGCCGAGCUGCUCCAUGCCCCGGACCCACACGGCUCCCACCUGUCCACAAGGAGCACGGCCCCAGCCCUCAGGCGACAGGCGCUCCCGAGAGGACCGGGUCUGUGGGAGCCGCACCCUUGCGCCUGGGCGCAGGGAGGCCCCGGUGUGCUCCUGGGGACGGGGCGCCCCAACCCACCAUCGUCCCGGCCACAGCCUCCCACUGGGCCUGGCUCAGAGACUCCAGAAGGAGAGCCCUGGGCGUCUGUCCCCGGCCUGGCCCGAGGCUCACGGCCCAGCAGAACGCCCAGUCGUGGCGGGUGGGACUGCGUCUGGGUUUGCCUUUUUGUCGGCACAGAGGAUGUGCCGUCCCUGCUCUGGGAGCGCCGUGUGCCUCCUGCGGCCUGAGCCCAGGCUGGGCGGGAGCAGAAGGCUGAGCCUGGGCUGCCGUCGGCCGAGUGCCGGCUUCCGGGUCUCUGCCCGGCCUUCUGGUCCUUGGGGUGCCCUGGACAGUCAUCCUAGGGUGUCCCCGUACUGGCACCUUCGGGAAGGACACAAAGUCACAACUGCACCGUCUCUUCCCAGGUAGCAGGCGUGGUUCUGAGGGUGGUGGUGUCCAGUUGCUAAGAUUCUCUGUGACCCCACAGACUGCAGCAUACCAGGCCUCCCUGUCCUUCACCAACUCCCGGAGCUUGCUCAAACUCAUAUCCAUAGAGUCGGUGAUGCCCAUCCAACCAUCUCAUCCACUGUUGUCCCCUUCUCCUCCUGCCCUCAGUCUUUCCCAGCAUCAGGGUCUUUUCCAGUGAGUCAGUUCUUCACAUCUGGUGGCCACAGUAUUGGAGCUUCAGCUUCAACAUCAGUCCUUCCAGUGAAUAUUCAGUUGACUUCCUUAGGAUUGACUGGUUGGAUCUCCUCACUGUCCAAGGGACUCUCGAGUCUUCUCCAGCACCACAGUUUGAAAGCAUUAGUUCUUCGGUGCUCAGCCUUCUUUAUGGUCCAGCUCUCACAUGCAUACGUGUACUGGAAAGACCACAGCUGUAACCACACAGACCUCUGUCGGCAGAGUGAUGGCUCCUUAACAUGCUUGUCUAGCUUUGUUGUAGUUUUUCUUCCAGAGAGCAAGCAUCUUUUAAUUUCACGGCUGCCAUCACCAUCUGCAGUGAUUUUGGAGCUCGAGAAAACAGAUUCCGUGGGGGCAUUUGCAGGCCUCCUGGGUGCUGGGCACCAUGCUGGGCGUGAGGGCCACACAGCUGCUAAGAGGUGGUCUCUGCCAGGCUCAGGAGCUGGAGCCUGAGGGGGGACAGGUAGCAAGAGCAUCUGUGAGCUGAUUUCAAGGGACCGCCGCCUAUUGCUGGAGCUGACCCCAUUGCUCCUGACGCAGGUGGCCCCCUGGAGGAGGUGACCUAAAGGAUGGGUAGGAAUUAGGCCUCUGAUGGCAGAACUGGCCCCAGGUGCCAGCUGGUGGGUGCCAAGGCAGGGCCAGAGUGAAGAGGGUGGGGCUCCACGACGUGGCAAACUCACCAGCCGCCUUCCUCUGCAGAUUCUGGAGGAUGUGCGCGGCUGGGCUGCGAGGGAGCCGGUGGGUGGGUUUGCUUCUGAGCGCGAGUCUCAUACCAGGAGGACGACGGGGCAGUCAGACUGACAGGAGAGGUUUCUCGGUGAGGCCCUCUGCCUCUAAGGCCCCCGGUCUCUGGGUGUGGAGGCGCCUCCUCAGCAGUGCGCGGAGGGCCGGGCGACCUGCAGGUGCAGUGUCAGACGGGGUGGAGUGGACGAGGGCAGGGGCAGAGGCCCGCUGAGCCCCUCCGUGCUUGGGCUGUGAGCCGCCAGACCUGUGGGGCUGACUCCUCGCUCACUUUGUUUCUUGUAGAACGUGGCUGAGCACCUCCGGCAAACUGGACGCCUGUCGUGGCCUUCGAAGACGCUCCAGCACCACGUGGCCGGUCCUUGCCCCGUGUCUGGCUGGCAGGGCAGCCCAGGAGGUGAGCGGCCCGGCCGGGAGGGGAACAUGGACUGGUCUCGGGUGACCCCAGCACCAGUCCUUCCUUGCAGGCCGCAGCUGGCAGCCAGCUGGGCCCACCUUGCCCAGACUCCCCAGGGGUGCCCGCCUCACCACCAGGAGCUGGGGAGUAGAGCAGCUGACUGCUGUCUGCUGUGAUCCCGCCAAGCCCCGCACCUGCCCUGUGGGCACAGCCGUGGCCCUGGCCAGAAUCCUCAAAGCAGACAGAAUCAGGGAGGCUGCCUGCCCCCUCCCCCCCGGGGUUGCUGCUGCAGAGGCUCCCCUGAGACCACUCUGCAUUGUCAGUGCCCGCAGCCCCCAGACCCCCUCCCACAAGCUGUCUGGCCCGACAGGCUUCUCUGGAGCCCUGAGUCUCGGUUUACCCUUCUGUAAGACUUGGGCAGGAAUACCUCCUAGCAGAGUUUGGGAGUGCAGAGUGAACCCCAGCGCACCCAUGGCUUCAGCAAGGAGGCUGGGGGUGGAAACCAGUCUUUGCAGGGGUUUAUGAUCCACUGAAGGGCUUCCCUGUGGCUCAGACGGUAAAGAAUCUGCCUGCAAUGCAGGCGACCUGGGUUCGAUCCCUGACUCAGGAAUGUCCCCUGGAAGAGGGCAUGGCAACCCAUUCCAGGAUUCUUGCUUGGAGAAUUCCACGGACAGCGGAGCCUGGUGGGCUACAGUCCAUGGGGUCAUAAACAGUUGGACACAAACUGAGCGACUAACACUUCCACUUUUUCACGAUCCACUGAAAGACCUCCCCAACCGGGCGCCCUGCUGGCCUCGUCUCCGUUUGCUGGAGCAAGAAGAAGGCAUGAGGCAAGGCAGAGCCAUCACUGCCCUGUGCAGAACGGGGACUUGGCCGCAGCCUCAGCUCCAGGCGGCUCAGGGAUUUGUUGGCAGCACCCCUGGGGCAGCCAGCAGUGAUUCGGUGGCCCAGGAACCCUGGCCUGCUGUGGCUACUGACCACAGGCUUUGGGUCAGUUUCGCAGGCUCGAGAAGGGCGUGGAGGUGGCCCUCCGAGUGAGGACUCUGCUGGAGGUGGCUGAGUGGGGAGAGGGGACCUCUCUGAGGCCUCAGAGUCUCAGCGGCUUCAUGCUGGCUGUGGGUCUGUUUACACAUCACCGGAACAGAUGGCCCACCCGCCUGGGGGCACCCCAGGCCCCCGAGGUUCUCCUGGCCCGUGGUGUCCCCCCGAGAGGCUCUGGGUGCCCCUGAGCUGUGCUGGGCGCUGUGGGGUCUUGGGGCGCAGUCGCGGGGAGGGCCGAAGCCAACAGUGCAGACGUAGGGUGCGCGCUUACCCACAGCUGAGCCAGCAUCUCUCUUCUCCCAGGCCUCAUCCCUCAUCCCUCCGCCUGGACGCCUCGGUCCUCAGCUGAUGCCUGGAGCUCGGAUGGCUGUGCCCGCCUCAGGUCAGGGAGCGUGCGAAUGUUGGAACUCAGAGCUCCCCACCCGCUCCGACCGGCGCCACCCUGGACUGGGUAUGUCUGAGGGAACACAGACGUGCAGCACAUGCCCGUGUGUGUUGAGGGGGUGGUCACCGGGCCAGACGGCAAUUCUCGCCACUUGCUCGGGUUCAGCUGGGAGUGCGCUCCCCGCCACCUGCUCUGCCCUCCCACCAGCCUCUUUCUGUGGCCCAGGGUCCAGGGUGAGUACGAGGUCAGGGGCUUGCCGAGGUCUCCCCCAGGCAGCUCGACUCGGGGCGUGUUCCUGGCUGGCCCCGGUAUGUAUGGUGGAUGAAGCCCACUUGGCAAGGAGGCAGCCGCUGUAGGAGGGUCUGGGCUGCGAGCGGGGGACUGGUAACCUCUGGGCAGAGCUCGGGGCUCAUUGCGUCAGGAUGUCCCACCCUGCCCCUCUUGGCCCCGUGCCUUGAGGGAGCUGUCGUGCUCCAAGUUUGCCGGGCCCCCGGCCACACCUUGCCCCUCCCAGGAGCCAGCCUGCACUGCCAACUGUCGGGCCGCCUUGGCUGCUGCCAGCCUCCUAGAGGGUCACGGGGUCCGUGAGGGUCAGGGCCGGACUGUCGGCCUCUCCCUCUGCCCUGCCUGGUGCCAUGGCCCAGGACGGGCCUGCCUCCCAGGUCUGCCUGGAGAGGGCCCGGGACCCCUCUGCCAUCUGGGCCUCGCGUGUUUACAGGCCCAGCCUGCCCGCCAGACUCCGCAGACGCGGCCCCAGGGCUUUUGUGUCUGCACGCAGAGCCUGCACCAGCCGCUGCCUGAGGGCGGGGAGGGGGCGGCCCCCCUGGGGGACAUCAGGGACGGGGGAAAGAGAGACCUGGCGGGAGUGUGACAGCAGAGGAGAGAGCAAAGGGGUGGAGGCAGAGAGCAGGCCAGGCCCGGGGAAGGGCGACGCCAGAGCGAAGGACCGGGGGCCGCCAGGCCGUCCCCGGGGAGACAGGGCCGCGGGCUCCGCUCACGGCUGUCCAGUGCGGCCCUCUCCGGGGCACUCCCUGUGGACUCCCCCCAGCCUCCCAGCGGAGACCCGGCCCUGAGAGCUGGGUCCAACACCUGGGCUGGGGCACCAGUGUGCCCCUGGGACCGACCGCCGGGGCCUGGCAGACACGCAGGAGGCCGUGAGGGCACGUCCCUGAGUGUGUGCGGGGCACACGCCCUGCUUCUGCGCCCCGUCGGCUUUGGCCCACCCCAGCCCAAGACUCCACAAGGCCUGGCCCAGCUCAGGGGCAGCCAGAUCCUCUCGGGGCACCACGGGCCAGGAGAACCUCGAGGAUCUGGAAUUCCCCCGGGGCAGGGGUCGCUGAGGGACCCUUUUUCCAGGCCGUGACCCCAGACACCCAGCAAUCUCAGGCUCAGCACGUACAGCUUCUCAACGUGGCUCUGCCAUGGGGUGCUGGGCCCUCCACACAGGCCUGCGUGUCCUGUGGACCCACAUCCAUGCAAACCCCUAAAGAGCCAGCAGGGCAGCCUCUAUCCACAGGUCCCCAGGGCGCCAGGGAGAACAGGGACAAUUCCCUGCAGAAAACCGGCCACCAGUGGUACUGACUGGGCCCCACGUGGCUCCCGCCCAGCAUGGGUGGAGCACCAGGGUGGGCAUAGGGAAAGAAGCCAGGGCGCUGCCUGGGACCCAGACCUGGACACAGGCCCUGCCUGGCUCUACACGUGCCCGUCUCCAUCAGAGCACAGGCCCGGCUGUGCCCCCAGAUGUGUGGGUAGCGUCUCCCCUGCUGGCUGCAGCGAGGUCCGUGCUGACCCCCUGGACCUGUCUGCCAUCUUUAAAGUGAGACUGGUCUCCAUCCUGGGUUUUCCCUCUGCAGGAGCAGGGAGUGGCAGUGGCCGGACUCGGCGCCCAGAGCAGGGUUGCUGGGCUCUGCCUUACGUCUGGGGUUCUGAAGCAGGCACUGGCUGACCGGGGGAGAGAGACGCUCCUCUCGUCCAGAGGAAGCGGGGAAGGGGCUCCCCAGAAGGGACAUGAGUCAGGCAAGCAGGACAGGAGUCUUGAGGCGCCAGAGGAGGCCGGGGCUGUUGUGGGCGGCUCUGCCCGGGUCAGGCAGGGUCUCAGUGCUGCAGGCCGUCAGGAGAGCUGAGGCUGCACACCCCUGGGGUGCUUCCUGGCAGCUGCCCCUGUGCCCCCUUCCCCCUGCACUGGACAGGCAGGAGGCGCCAGCCUGGACCUCGGUGGGGUGGCUGUGCCGGGUGUCCCUAGGAGGCAGGAGAGCCCCUCAGGCCACUUGGUCAGAGGCGGCCCCAAACCUCAGGCCAGUGAGGACCCAGACCCCGUGAGGCAUCCCUUCCGGGGGCCACCCAAGGGCAGUAGGGCCUCUGGCGGCCGGGUGACCGGGAGCUCCGGCCGGAGGAGGGUCCUGGACGCCGCGGCCCGGCCGCUUCCCGAGUGGACGGCCGCCUCCUGCCGCGGGCGCCCGGCCCUCCGCGCCGCCGCCUUCGUCUUCCCAGAGCCGCACAAGAUGGCCGCCGCCCCCGCCAUUUUGUGACGAGGCCGCGGCCGGCCGGCCCCGCGCGCCUGGCCCGCGCCCAGCCCAGCCCGGCCCUGGCCGCGGCCGCCCCGGGCUUGGCACCGGCCGGCGUCUUGGCGAGGCGUCUGGGAGCCUCGACGGAGCAGCCCGCCGCGCGGGUGGAGACGCUGCCCGCCAGCGCCCGGGAGCGGCGCCGAAGGGAGGGCCGUGCCCCGAGGGGGGACCUCGCAGCCGCGGGCCGCUCCACAGACCCCGGGCUCGCGGGGCCCCCGGCGCGCCGCACACGGAGGCAGGCCUGCGUGGGCCACGCGGAGGAGGCAGGCGGCGCCCUCGGCCUCCGGGCCCCCGCGGCCUCCGGG
ensembl:lncRNA